CGGCACGCACAGAGAUGAAAAAGGUUUAUAUGGAUUUUUCUAACUCUGGGGAUACAGUGAAUAAGCUAAAGUCACAAAAAGUUGUCGUGUUCCUUUAACAUGAACCCAUUCCUUUCAGUUUUUCAUGCCAAAGCCCAUAAUUUUAAAUGUGAGGUAUGGAAAAGUUGCUAUGUGAUAGAAAAUAAAGUGAACAUCUAUGUAUAUUUUUUUUCUUUAACUAGGUGAAAUGGAGUGGGGCAAAUGCAGGAUGUUGCUGUAUUAACACUAGGAGAGGAGGUGGGACAGUGCAGUACCUUCCUCUCUAGGAUUGCAGUGACUACAAAACAAUUGUGAAAAGCAGGACGCGCAGACAAUCUGCCUCUCAUGGCCAUGCGCUGGAAUCAGCAAAAGUUUAACAAUUUAGCCAUCUCAAUUACUCGUCGAUAUCAGAAAACCAAAAAGCUCUGGAAAGCCAGUUAGAAAACCUAGAGUCCAUGAAAGCCCAAUUGGCAGUGACAGAAAGCUAAUUGGAAGGCUAGACUCUGUACAUCUAAGUCAGCUUGGAGACUUCAGGAGGAGCAGAAGAUGCUUGUUGCAGAGAUGGACCAUCAUUGGAAAUCUCUAAGCUUGUGCUGAUGCCAUCAGAGAGCUGUCCUGCUUGUUUUCUAAUGAGACAAUGAAAAAUUCACCAUGUGGCCUAAGUGAAGAGGGUCUAAAAGGUCUGCUGAGCACCAUUCUCAGAGAGCAACAUAAAAUCAGAAAAAUUUGCAAGCAAGAGACUGUUACCUACAAGUUUUGUCUGGAGCAGAGAACAUCAACUUCUUGUACAGUGCUUCACCUGAUGAGUACGACAGUGACUUUGACAUUUCUGAUGAUGGUCUGUAAUCCACAAGACUGUCACCUUCCAUCAUUCUGGACAAAGACUUCUAACUGUCAACAUAA